AAUUUGAAGUGAUGAGAUGUGUUUACGAGUAUAUUUUUUUUGUUCUUUUCUUUUUCUUUUGUUUUUUUUCCUUUCGGUGUUUUCGUAUC
rnacentral:ribozyme from 1 species